rnacentral:rRNA from 1 species
ACGUAGGGGGCAAGUGUUGUUCGGAAUUACUGGGCGUAAAGGGCGCGUAGGCGGCACGGCAAGUCGGGAGUGAAAGCCCGGGGCUCAACCCCGGAGGGUCUUCCGAAACUGCCGAGCUAGAGUGCGGAAGAGGCAACCGGAAUUCCCAGUGUAGCGGUGAAAUGCGUAGAUAUUGGGAGGAACACCGGUGGCGAAGGCGGCUACCUGGACCGGUUCUGACGCUGAUGCGCGAGAGCGUGGGUAGCAAACAGGA